AAAGAACCCUGGUAGUGGUAGACUUGGACAAAGAACAAAACAUUCAGUAACUAUUAAGAAGGAAAAAAAACAAGACAAGGUCACCAAAUUGGGACCAAAUGGAAGGAUGUCCAAUAAAUAAUGCAACAAAAAUAAUAAACUACAUGCAAAUUUGAUCCAAAAGAAGCUAUAAUAUGUGAUGAUGGCUACUAAAUAAGAGACCUCAAAAAUUUCAGGCCUUGGACUGACCGACUUCGACGUCGGCCUUCUCCAUUCCCUCCUUCAAUAAUUUCAGCUCUUCUUCUGUCAAGCUGUUUUUGGAAGCGUGUGGACUCUUGGUGUUGGUUUGUUUUUCGACCUCCACGGCCCAACUAUAGAUCACCAUGCCCGCAAUUGCAACGAGCAUUCCCAUUAUGUUCUUAAAAGUCAACGCAGAUUCAAAGAGCACCCAGCCUAAAGUCAGGACACACACGGUCUUCAUGUGGCCUAGAACCUGGAAGGAAACUGCAGAGAAUCGCCCGAUGCAGAGAUACUGACUCACA
rnacentral:misc_RNA from 1 species